rnacentral:rRNA from 1 species
AUUGAACGCUGGCGGCAUGCUUUACACAUGCAAGUCGAACGGUAGAGGGGGCAACCCCUUGAGAGUGGCGAACGGGUGAGUAAUGCAUCGGAACGUGCCCAGUCGUGGGGGAUAACGCAGCGAAAGCUGUGCUAAUACCGCAUACGAUCUCUGGAUGAAAGCGGGGGACCGAAAGGCCUCGCGCGAUUGGAGCGGCCGGUGUCAGAUUAGGUAGUUGGUGGGGUAAAGGCUCACCAAGCCAACGAUCUGUAGCUGGUCUGAGAGGACGACCAGCCACACUGGGACUGAGACACGGCCCAGACUCCUACGGGAGGCAGCAGUGGGGAAUUUUGGACAAUGGGCGCAAGCCUGAUUCAGCAAUGCCGCGUGCAGGAAGAAGGCCUUCGGGUUGUAAACUGCUUUUGUACGGAACGAAAAGGUCUGGGUUAAUACCCUGGGCACAUGACGGUACCGUAAGAAUAAGCACCGGCUAACUACGUGCCAGCAGCCGCAGUAA